rnacentral:rRNA from 1 species
CCUACGGGAGGCAGCAGUGGGGGAUAUUGCACAAUGGGGGGAACCCUGAUGCAGCGACGCCGCGUGGGUGAAGGAGUGCUUCGGCAUGUAAAGCCCUAUCGGCAGGGAAGAAGCAAGACGGUACCUGACUAAGAAGCCCCGGCUAACUACGUGCCAGCAGCCGCGGUAAUACGUAGGGGGCGAGCGUUAUCCGGAUUAACUGGGUGGAAAGGGAGCGUAGACGGCCAUGCAAGCCAGGGGUGAAAGCCCGGGGCCCAACCCCUGAACUGCUUUGGAGACUGCCAUGCUAGAGUGCUGGAGAGGUAAGUGGAAUUCCUAGUGUAGCGGUGAAAUGCGUAGAUAUUAGGAGGAACACCAGUGGCGAAGGCGGCUUACUGGACAGUAACUGACGUUGAGGCUCGAAAGCGUGGGGAGCAAACAGGAUUAGAUACCCCAGUAGUC